AUUGAACGCUGGCGGCAUGCCUUACACAUGCAAGUCGAACGGUAACAGGUUAAGCUGACGAGUGGCGAACGGGUGAGUAAUAUAUCGGAACGUGCCCAGUCGUGGGGGAUAACGUAGCGAAAGCUACGCUAAUACCGCAUACGAAAUACGGAUGAAAGCGGGGGAUCGCAAGACCUCGCGCGAUUGGAGCGGCCGAUAUCAGAUAAGGUCGUUGGUGAGGUAAAAGCUCACCAAGCCUGCGAUCUGGAGCUGGUCUGAGAGGACGACCAGCCACACUGGAACUGAGACACGGUCCAGACUCCUACGGGAGGCAGCAGUGGGGAAUUUUGGACAAUGGACGCAAGUCUGAUCCAGCAAUGCCGCGUGCAGGACGAAGGCCUUCGGGUUGUAAACUGCUUUUGUACGGAACGAAACGGUGAGCUCUAAUACAGCUUGCUAAUGACGGUACCGUAAGAAUAAGCACCGGCUAACUACGUGCCAGCCGCCGCAGUAA
rnacentral:rRNA from 1 species